AGAGUUUGAUCCUGGCUCAGAACGAACGUUGGCGGCAUGGAUUAGGCAUGCAAGUCGAGGGAAUCCCCGCGAGGGGGGAACCGGCGUAAGGGGCAGUAAGGCGUGGGUACCGACCCCCGGGUCCGGGAUAGCCCGCCGAGAGGCGGGGUAAUACCGGAUGCCCUCGGGAGAGGAAAGGUCCGCCGCCCGGGGACGGGCCCACGUGGUAUUACCUGGUUGGCGGGGUGACGGCCCACCAAGGGGGCGAUGCCUAGCGGGUGUGAGAGCACGACCCGCGCCACUGGCACUGAGACACUGGCCAGACACCUACGGGUGGCUGCAGUCGAGGAUCUUCGGCAAUGGGGGCAACCCCGACCGAGCGAUGCCGCGUGGGCGACGAAGGCCUUCGGGUUGUAAAGCCCUGUCGGGGGAUGGAAAGGGCAACUUGAUCCGUCCCCGGAGGAAGCUCGGGCUAAGUUCGUGCCAGCAGCCGCGGUAAUUC
rnacentral:rRNA from 1 species